UACGAAGGGGGGCUAGCGUUGCUCGGAAUCACUGGGCGUAAAGGGUGCGUAGGCGGGUCUUUAAGUCAGGGGUGAAAUCUCGGAGCUCAACCCCGGAACUGCCUUUGAUACUGGGUGUCUAGAGUAUGGAAGAGGUGAGUGGAAUUCCGAGUGUAGAGGUGAAAUUCGUAGAUAUUCGGAGGAACACCAGUGGCGAAGGCGGCUCACUGGUCCAUUACUGACGCUGAGGUGCGAAAGCGUGGGGAGCAAACAGG
rnacentral:rRNA from 1 species